UGGGGAAUAUUGGACAAUGGGCGAAAGCCUGAUCCAGCCAUGCCGCGUGUGUGAAGAAGGUCUUCGGAUUGUAAAGCACUUUAAGUUGGGAGGAAGGGCAGUAAGCGAAUACCUUGCUGUUUUGACGUUACCGACAGAAUAAGCACCGGCUAACUCUGUGCCAGCAGCCGCGGUAAUACAGAGGGUGCAAGCGUUAAUCGGAAUUACUGGGCGUAAAGCGCGCGUAGGUGGUUCGUUAAGUUGAAUGUGAAAGCCCCGGGCUCAACCUGGGAACUGCAUCCAAAACUGGCGAGCUAGAGUAGGGCAGAGGGUGGUGGAAUUUCCUGUGUAGCGGUGAAAAGCGUAGAUAUAGGAAGGAACACCAGGGGCGAAGGCGACCACCUGGGCUCAUACUGACACUGAGGUGCGAAAGCGUGGGGAGCAAACAGG
rnacentral:rRNA from 1 species